AUACGGAGGGUGCGAGCGUUAAUCGGAAUUACUGGGCGUAAAGGGUGCGUAGGCGGCUUGAUAAGUCGGAUGUGAAAGCCCCGGGCUUAACCUGGGAAUUGCAUUCGAUACUGUCAGGCUAGAGUAUGUCAGAGGUUGGCGGAAUUCCUGGUGUAGCGGUGAAAUGCGUAGAUAUCAGGAGGAACAACAGUGGCGAAGGCGGCUAACUGGGACAAUACUGACGCUCAGGCACGAAAGCGUGGGGAGCAAACAGGAUUAGAAACCCUAGUAGUCC
rnacentral:rRNA from 1 species